rnacentral:antisense_RNA from 1 species
UUCUAUGGGCGGGCGAUAGUGAGGAGGGGUUCGCCCCUGCCGGGUUCCUUGUGCCUCCGGUUUCGCCAAACUCGCUAUCAUGCCCGCCCACCCCG